rnacentral:lncRNA from 10 species
AGAGAUCCACCCACCUCGGCCUCCCAAAGUGCUGGGAUUACCUGCAUGAGCCACUGCACCUGGCUUCAGCCCUUUGUUUUAUCCAAGAGAAGGUCAAGAGCAGAUAAAUUGGAUCUGUGCCCGCAGAGAGAGCCUGCUCCAGCCUCUUUGCUACAGCCUUGAGUCUUCUGCUGAAGCUGGAAGCCAUGGAAACUUUUCAGCAGGGGAAUGACAAUAACAAGACAGACUUGGAGACAGAAAGCCUGGAUUUGGG